UCUCUCUUUUGGCUGAUGCUGACCCGUUAUGGGUGAAACUUUUUUAAUUUAAUUUUGUACAAAUUUUGUGCACUGCCAACACUCUCUGUGCCAGUGGGAAGCCAGUCAAAGUGAGCACCAGCUUUCUGGAAAUGGCCUCCGGAACUAUCUGAAUAAUUUUUUGUGUCUUUUUUUUUGGUUAGUUCAAUUUCAGCAGUCAAACCGGUAAAUGGUUUUUCCUUUUCCGCUAAAUUACUUGCUCGGAAGACACAGAGGUUGAGGUGAAGAGCCCCGACCAAAAAAGAGGUUCGACAACUUAUCACAUCAUGAUGGUUCGGGUACGGAACAGUUGCCACAGUGUUUGUUCCGAAAGUGUUUAAAACCAUUUUGUACUUGCCAGAAUUUAAUUACCCACUGCACAAGAAAAAACACCGACCGUUCUGAAGCAGAUGAAACCGCUGUAAACUGUAUGCAUACACCAUAUCCGGGCUGUGUGUGCCGCAUGUCUUGGAGUUUGGGGAGAUAAGAAGGUCCGUUUUUGCUGUCUUUUCUGCAUUCCUGGAUGCGAAAAAGGAUUGCUCCGCUGGGUGGCCUUAUGCUGCGCACGUAUUUAAUUAGUUGGAUUAAGCCAACUCCGCUGUUCGCACGUAGACAUUCACACCGCGUCGUAGCGAAGGAAAUUGCUGUCGGAAAUUGUACGUAAACCGCGAUUAAGCUACGCAUUAGUCACGGCUUUUUCCUAUCUUUUCGACGGGGCGUCGUGAUUGCGAGGCAGAGCGGAAGAGAAGCAGGGAAUAAAAUCAAGCCGCACGCCCUCUUUCUCACUCUCCGUUUCUGAAGCUCGUGCCGUUGCAUUGACGCGUGUCCAUAGCCCCCCCGUCUACGUUUCUUGGUCGGUUUCAGAUAUCAAAGAAAAGAUACUUCAUCGACAAAGAGGAGGAAUGGGACGGUUUUCCAAUUGUUGUUGUUUUCGCGUAAGAAGUGGUACUGCAGUCGUAAAUAAUCUACCGACGCUCCGUUUACCGUGGACGAUCAAAGAGUUCUCGGGUGUGGAGGUGCUGAAAUGGAUCGAAUGGACUGGUCAAUGGCUGACCGGGAAGGUUGAAACGGUUGUGCUUCACUGCUUCCGAGGCGAGUAAGAUAAUUGGGUAUCGCUAUGGUUCCAUUCCCCAUGGUCAAGAGGCGGUAAAUUGAAGAUUAUUGUACUGUAUCUCUCACCACACUCUUUUGUUUCAUUGUAGCAUUGUGCUGUGCGGUUUGCGACAGGAAUGACAGGAAACCGUGUCCUCUAUUCGUGGGAAGACGUGAACAUGCACGGUUCAAGCAAAAUCCCUUGUAUUCUGAGGAUCUGCGUGCCUCCGGCAUUCUCUAGUGACCAGCCGUACAGCAACAGAGCAGCAUCCCACGAAGAAGGAAGUUUGUCUGUGACUGGUCCGAAAUAAGCUCAUUUCUUCUGCUGCAAAAGUAUGCUACCGUGAUUAACUUCAAGCAGUUGAAAAUUUUCAUUUCUUAGAAUGGGACCAGAAAGAGAGAGAGAGAGAAAGAAAGAGAGCACAUCGUGCAGCGGUGUCUACCUUUCCGUCCCAGGCAGCUUUCAAGCCCCGGCUUCACCGCGAUGAACGAUUUAUCCUAAAACAACCAGCGCCCAAUCGUGGCCUCCCCAAAAAGGCCCAGAGUCUCGCGAUGUCAUAGAAGCGAAAAAUUCUUCGUACCACCCGUCCGCCGUUCGCUCUCGUGCCUUCGCGGUAGUUCGGUACAGCCCGUACAAAACCCGAAACCUUGCCAUCGGGGGUUAAACACAGAGAGGGCUCCCCAAAGAAACAGAAAUAGCAAAAAGCCUCCGAAAUGCUCGUAGCGGUGGAACGAAUCCUGCGGGCUUUUCGCGUGCAAACAGUUUUUCCCUCAUCCCUGGGUGCUCUCGCGGUACACAGGAGGGAGAGAGACAGAGAGCUAGCGGGGGGGUAAAGUGGCUCUCGGAAUCGGUUAAAAGUCAAAGGUCGAAAAGCGACGACGACAAGCAACGGGUGCGUCUUGCUAAGGCGCAAGGGAUUCGAGGCAUCCAAGUGGCAAACUAGCGGGUUUGCUGCCCUCAGUCAAUAGCCCGCCCACCGCUCGGGCCCUUCUUAUUCGACCGGAUGUAUGGCAAAUGGUGCUGCUGGUGGUGCCGUUUACCUUGUCAGCUUUGAGCGGCUGCUGCUUGCUGACCGCAUCGUGUAGCGUGGUUAAUAUCCGGCAGGCUUAACAUUGUCCCGUCUCCGGGCAACAAAACGUCAUGCCAAUCAUGCACGAAGGUAUGCUUCGGGGCCAGACCGGGGGGAAAAUGAAGCGCUCUUUGAUUUUCAAAAGGGAUCGAUUUGAGUGAUGGCUCUUUUGCAGCUCAAAGAAAACGUUUCGUUCUUUUCCACCGCGGAGGCUUUUGCUGAUCCACUGCUGUGUGCUUGGUGUGUUGGUUCGGAAAAUGAAACGGCUAAUCCUUAUGCCAUUAGAAAGAUUAGGAAACAAUUGCAGAUAUGCUUUCAUUACUGCUUGCGUAUGAUGUCGGAGCACUUGUACUAGUUCGCACGUGCCGGUUCUGCUGUUGCUACUGUAGCUGGUACGUGCCUAAAUGCCGAAGGUCGUACCGCACGUAACGAUGCUCGUCGGGGACCUUUUUCUUCUCGGGCGGCAUGUUGCAGACCGAGUUGAACACACACACACGCGCGCGCAGAAAGUGAAGGAAAAAGUACUUUCGGACACUCAACAGGUGUUUAGGAAACUCAGCGCAGGAUGUAACGAGAGUUUGUGCAACAUUUGUGCUUCUCGAGCGCUGCUGCUUACCCUUCAAAACGAUCUCACCUUCGGCAAAUGGGACGGCGAGCGGUGGGAAAGUCCCCCAAAAAAAACAAAUGGCAUUGUAAUUGGUGUGGUUGUUGCGGUUGCGGCGUGAACGCGAACCCGUUACUGCUUGCAUCUCAUGGAGCCGCCUGGUGGCUGAUGGUUUGGUUGCGUGAGUCGGCGAG